UGCGCCGUCGCCGUGCCGCCGUGGUCAUCACCAAAACUCCAUAGACGUCGCCUCCUCCUCCAUUUCUGACCGGAAGGACAAUUGGGUCAUUGUCCAUCGUAUUAUGAACUAUUCAGGCAUACACAUACCAAACAACACGAUGGGAAAACAUUCAUAGCUGAAAAAGCCAAACAAAUUCAUGAACAAGUUGAAUCGCAACGGGAGAUGUUGGCAGAAAAUGGGGAGCAGGUGGAUGACAAUCAAUUAUACUAUGACGCGGUUGGUGGACACGAUAAGAAAAGAAGAGUUUAUGGACUUGGUUCAUAUGGUUGUUCUGUUGUUCAUGGUCCAACUAAUGAUAACACUUCUGGCAAUAUGACACCAACAUCGCGACCACCCGACAAUGCUACUUCUACUUCUGCAAAUGUACAACAUGAAAUUCAGAGUUUGAAGGAAAUUAUUCUCCUUAUGCAACAAUGACUUGAUGCUAUUGAUGGCGGGAGAGCGGGUACUUCAUCAUCACCUCCAUCUGCAAUCAAUUGAUUUUAAUGGUUGUUUGUUAAUGUUGUUUAGACUUGAAUUGACUAUUAUAUUAUGUAUUAAGUGUGGAUUGAUAAUGUAUU